rnacentral:rRNA from 1 species
GAUGAACGCUGGCGGCGUGCCUAAUACAUGCAAGUCGAGCGAAUGGAUUAAGAGCUUGCUCUUAUGAAGUUAGCGGCGGACGGGUGAGUAACACGUGGGUAACCUGCCCAUAAGACUGGGAUAACUCCGGGAAACCGGGGCUAAUACCGGAUAACAUUUUGAACCGCAUGGUUCGAAAUUGAAAGGCGGCUUCGGCUGUCACUUAUGGAUGGACCCGCGUCGCAUUAGCUAGUUGGUGAGGUAACGGCUCACCAAGGCAACGAUGCGUAGCCGACCUGAGAGGUUGAUCGGCCACACUGGGACUGAGACACGGCCCAGACUCCUACGGGAGGCAGCAGUAGGGAAUCUUCCGCAAUGGGCGAAAGUCUGACGGAGCAACGCCGCGUGAGUGAUGAAGGCUUUCGGGUCGUAAAACUCUGUUGUUAGGGAGGAACAAGUGCUAGUUGAAUAAGCUGGCACCUUGACGGUACCUAACCAGAAAGCCACGGCUAACUACGUGCCAGCAGCCGCCGUAA